UCCGCAUUCCGCAGAUUUGGUCCAUCACUAUACAUCUGGCCCAAAACAAAACUUCCAUUACAUAUUUAAGAUUACACAAUCCAACUCUUGCCCCACAAGUCCAGGGUCGAUCGUCUUACAACAUUACUAUCAGGUCUAUCUUGAUUACAUAUUUGCAAGUCCGAUUACAGACCAUUAUAAUAACUAUAGUUGUACUACCAAACAACGUAGUCUAGCAGCCUCAGCUUGUGUGAUGAGCCUUUUCCUUGCCUAUGCCAAAACCCGUUUCCGGGCAAAUCUCUUGGGUUGUGCCAAUCUCACUGCUCAAAAGAAUAUAAAGUAGAUACAAGAAUGAGCAAUCAAAUUGCUCAGCAAGUCAACAUAUCACAGAAUAACAAAUAACAAGAUAUGCAAAUAAGCCAUCGAAAGCAUAUCAAAUCAAAGCAACAAAACAGUUAUCAUCAAACGACAAAACAAUGUCAAGUAAAGGAACUGCUGGUCUUCCACCUCUCGGUAACACUACAUGGCUCGAUCAACACCAUUUCGUGAAUACCGUUCUCCUGUGUAGUCCUAGUGGUCUGAUCGUAACCACUGAAGACACACCAACACUCUCUUUGCUAGCAUCAGGGUUUAACACUGGAACCCCACUAUCUGCCUUACCAGAUAGUAAAUUUCAACUCUACCACGAAUUUAAUAAAUUCGUGUUGACCAGCUUGAACCGAUUCCUCCGAAUACAAGGAAAUUUUCCCAAACAAACACUUCUCAAUCAUCACUGCUAAUUUUUAUCAAAAAAGUGCGAACAAUGCACCCUUUCGUCAUUACAAAGAUUACCCGAAGGUAGAAGUGAAAGAUAAUUAAAAUAAUUAGAUUCCAAAAGAUAAGAUGAUCUCCAAAAAGAGUAAAUUGAGAUCAUCGCUGCCAAGUAUUCACAUCAAGCUUCGAAGAUUCAAAAUAUUAUCGUUAUAGGAUCAACUCAUUCCCGAACAAUGGGAGAGCUCGAAUUAUAUAAAAUAAUAUGUGAGCAAUAUCUUUAAAGCCUUCAAAAUGAAGCAGAGAUAUUUUCUCGAUUCACAAUGAUACGAAAUGUAAUAUUUUCACAAUCAACACUUUUCACAAAAUAUGAAAUAGGCACGAAAAACUUCACAUCAAGACAGGGAUAGUGAACUUGCCUGUCGUCCUUAGCUUGAUAAUAUUCUUGUAAUUAUCACGUAUAAUCGGUUUCAUCCUUCCGAAUAUUCAAUUUCUAAUUCACGUAAAAUAAUACUUUAAUAUCUCAUCAAAGAAAACAAAAAUGCCAAAAUAAUCUAUAUUAUGAAUCCGACAAAUAAUAUUAAGAAUUUGAUAGGAUAUCUAUCUCAUUUUCUUUUACACUGUAAACUAACAUAUUGUAUGUGUACAUGUAGUAGAUACACUUAUUUAAGUCCAGAGCCUAACUUUCUUUUAUCAACUACUAAAUAAAUCGUUUAUAUAGUCCAUAUUUGAUUAUUUAUUAAUGCUAUCUCUAUUUAAUUUUUAAACAAUUAUUCCACUUAUAUUUCGUUCCCCACAUUCCAUUUCUACUAAUCCAAGAAAUUUGUGGUUCAUCAUCACUUAUUCAUAUUUACUAAAUAAACAUCUAUCUGUCUAUUUAACAUCAAAAUCCUACACUCUCUAAUUAAUUCUACGUAUUCCUUUACCAACACUUAUUCACCAACCCAUUUAAUAAAUCGAUAAAUUAAAUAUAAAAAUCAUCUCCGCAUCCCCAAUUUAUUACCUCACAAUUAUUUUUAAUAAAUUCAUUUUAUAUUCUUAACUCAAAAUUAUUAUUAUUAUCAUUAUUCUCUCUCACAAAAUUUUAAUAUAUACCACCCCUCUCCCUUCUUCCUUUCCAUUGCCUCACACCUCCUCCUUUAACAACCUAUUCUGCUUAAUCAAUCAGCACAACCAAAACAGUUAAGUUAUUUAACCAAACUCAAAAUUCUUAAAUAGAAGACAUAAAACUCGUGUAUUAAUUAUUUUCAUGGCUCCUAUUUAAAUAGCUUUUAUUGAAUAAAAGAUGGGCUAUAAAUAUUCAAUAUUACCAUUAAUCAAAGAUAGAAAGAGAAUAUACCUUGAUGAUGGAUUCUGAUUCUUCUUUACUGUCUUGAGUUUUACUUGCUUUGGUACCUCCUGAAUUUGCCAAACUAAAACUAAACAACGUGUUUGGUAUUUAUACUAAUCAUAAAUCAUGGUUAAGAUUUAAUUUACCUUGGUUAACAAUUACUUGGGCACUACUCUUUGGUUUUUAAGUACCUGGUUUUGAUAAACCAAUGUGCCACAAACCACCCCAUUAGUCGGUUAGCUAGUUUUGUUAAAAUAUUUUUUUUUUAUUUAUUUAUAUAUUCUUUUUAUUUGCCCGUAUAUUAAAUGUUUCGCAACUGGAAAUAUUUUAGCCCCGGGUCAUUUAACAACUUCCUAUUUAAAUAUUUUAAUAAAAAAUAUCAUUCGGGAUUAUACUAAAUAAUUAAUUAAAUAAUUAUUCUAGUAUUUCUCUAAAUAUUUCAAAAUUUAAUAGUUAUAACGAAAUAUUUCUUUUAGCUAAACCCGUAAAAUUUAUAAUAUUCCCGGGCCAUAACAAAAUUAUACAUCUACCAAUUUAUUUACGUGGCCAACAUUUAGAUCCUAAUGGUACGAAAAUGGAUUUAAUUUGCUAGCCGAUAUAAACAAACCUCGUACUAGCCUGAAAUGUUUUACGUACCAAUAUUUUUAUUAAAUAAUAAUUUCACAAUUAUUUAAAUGAUAGCUUUAACCGCAUAAAAUUAAAUAAUUAAUUUGUUUACGUACUUGAAAUUUUACGGUUGUUACAUUCUUCCCUCGUUUAAAGGAUUCCGACCUCGGAAUCAGAUUUGAUGCUGAAACAACUCGGGAUACUUCUCUUUCAUUACUUCUUCCAGUUCCCACGUGGCUUCUUCUACAGUUUGAUUUCCCCAAAUUACUUUAAACAUUUUCACUUUCUUAUUUCUUAAUUCCUGAAACUUAGACUCCACAAUUUCCAAAGGCUUUUUUUUUUCAUAUGUUAAAUCAGACUGAAGGUUAAUCGGCUCCUAAUUUAGAACAUGCUGAAUAUCAGUCUUGUAAGCUUUCAAAAGAGAUACAUGAAAUACAUCAUGAAUAUGUUGUAGAUCUGGAGGUAAAGCUAAUUGAUAAGACACGACUCCAACUUUUCUUAGAAUCUCGAAGGUUUCGAUUUAUCUUGGAUUCAAUUUUCUUUUCUUUCCAAACCUGAUUAUUCCUUUCCAAGAUGAUACUUUCAAAAGUAUUUUUCCCCAACUUCAAAUGUCAUUUCUUUUCUUCCUAAGUCUGCAUAUUUCUUUUGCCUGUCUUGAGCUUCAACUAACCUUUUGUGUAUCUUCUCGAUCAAUUGUGUAGUUUGCUGAACAAGUUCCGGUCUUAAUAACUUUUUCUCUCCCACUUCCUCCCAAACAAGAGGCGAUCUACAUUUUCUACCAUAUAAUGUCCAUAAGGCGCCAUUCCAAUAUUAGCAUGGUAGCUGUUAUUGUAUGCAAACUCCACCAAAGGCAAGUGAUCAUCCCAACUUCCUUUAAAAUCUAAUGAACAAUUAAUAACUUUUUCUCUCCCACUUCCUCCCAAACAAGAGACGAUCUACAUUUUCUACCAUAUAAUGUUCCAUAAGGCGCCAUUCCAAUACUAGCAUGGUAGCUGUUAUUGUAUGCAAACUCCACCAAAGGCAAGUGAUCAUCCCAACUUCCUUUAAAAUCUAAUGAACAAGCUCUUAACAUAUCCUCUAUAGUUUGUAUUGUUCUUUUACUUUGCCCAGCUGUUUGUGGGUGAUAUGCAGUUCUCAAAUUAAGCUUAGUCCCAAAACACUCUUGAAAAGCUUGCCAGAAUCUUGAAGAAAAUCUUGCAUCUCUGCUUGAAACAAUUGACACUGACACUCCAUGUCUGGUCACGACCUCAUUCAUAUAUAGCUUUACUAAUCUCUUCAUGGUGUACUUUUCACUAAUAGGAAGAAAAUAUGCUAAUUUCGUCAACCUAUCUACAAUUACCCAAAUAGCAUCAUGAUUAGCUCGAGUCUUUGGCAAUCUAACUAUAAAGUCCAUGGUGAUGUGUUCCCAUUUCCAUUCUGGAAUCUCUAAUGGCCGCAAUAAUCCGUUAGGUCUUUGGUGCUCUGCUUUCACUUUUUGACAAGUCAGACAUUUACUCACCCACUCAGCUAUUUCUCUUUUCAUGUUAGGGGACUAAUAGUUUCUCUUAAAUUAUUGGUACGUCUUAGUACUUUCCUGGUGUAUUGAAUAUCUCGAUUCAUGAGCUUUACUAAAAAAUAUCUCUUUUAAGAUCAAACAGGUUAGGAAUCCAAAUUCUUUUAGCAAAUCUCAUAAUUCCUUUCUCAUAUUUCACUUAAAUUCUCAUCGUUAGUAAAUUCAAAAUGUCUUUCUUUAAUUAUCAACUCUUGAAUUUGUUUUAUUAUUUUCAAGUAUCUCUGGCUGCACUUAUAUCUCAAAAAUCCUUCCAUCCUUAUGCUCUGAAUCCUUAAUCUUCAAUCCUAGAUUUUCCAUAUUCUUAAUCAAUUUCUUUAAUCAAGACAUCACAUUAAUUCUCUCCUUUCUACUUGACGCGUCAUCAACUACCUUAGCCUUCCCUGGGUGAUAGUUAAUUGUACAAUCAUAGUCUUUUAUCAAUUAUAACCAUCUACUUUGUCUCAUAUUCAAUUCUUUCAGAGCAAACCGUAUUUUUAAGUUCUUACGAUCCGUAAAUAUCUCACACUUCUCACCAUACAAGGAAUGUCGCCAAAUCUUUAAAGAAAACAUUAUAGCAGCUAACUCUAGGUCAUGUGGGGUAUCUCAGCUCGUGAGCCUUAAGUUCCCUAGAAGCAUAUGCUAUCAUCUCUCCAUGUAUGUAUAAGAACACAUCUAAGUCCUUGAUGAGAUGCAUCGCUAUAAACCCACAAAAUAUCAUGUCUCAUUAUGUAAGGUUAAUACAAGGGCCAUUGUAAGCCGCUUCUUUAAUUCUUGAAAACUUUCCUCGUACUCAGGUAUCCACUCAAAAUUCUCUUCGUUUCUAGUCAACUUAGUCAAAGAAGUCUCAAUCUUAAAGAAAUCUUUCAAAAAUAUUUUAUAAUAUCCUGCUAAAUCAAGAAAACUUCUCACUUUGGUUGGGGUUCUUAGUCUUUUCCAAUUUGAUAAUGCCUCAAUCUUCGCGGGUAUACCAAUAUUCCUUUCUUAAAAACUAUAUGCCCUUAAAAACUAUACUUGCUUUAUCAAAAUUCUCAUUUUGAAAAUUUUGCAGAUAACUUUUCUUUCCUCAAAAUUUUCUAAGUUACUCUAAGAUGCUCAACAUGUUUUUCUUUCGUCUGAGAAUAUAUUAUAUAUCAUCAAUAAAACAAUAACGAACUUAUCCAAAUAUUUCUUCAAUACUCUAUUCAUAAGAUCCAUAAUUGUUAUAGGUGCAUUAGUCAAUCCGAAAGGCAUCUCUUAAGAACUCACAAUGUUCAUGUCGGGGCCUAAAGACCGUCUUAGGUACAUUCUCAGACCCGAUUCUGUAACUGAUGAUAUCCAGAUCUCGUGUCUAUCUUAAAAAAAUAAGAUGCUUUCCUCAACAACUAAAACAAUCAUCAACCCUAGGCAAGGGUCAUCUUGUUAAAUCUCAAUAAUCGAUGUAACAACCCUCAAAUCCGGGGGUCUGGAUUUGACACCUCCAUACAACACCUUUACAAAACAACUUAGGAAAAAUUGCGUUUUUGAAAAGAACAAAAUCAAACAAUUUGAUAUCUGAGCAUUUCGAGAAGAAUUUAAAGGAAAUCGGAAUUUUUUUAAAACUCUCUUGGACAUAUAGAAGUCUUUCACAAUGGUAUCACUGAUCACUGAGUUUUCAAAGUAGCUCUCAUUUGAAAUAAAAGGAUGAUUGGGAGCCCAAUACGAUCAAAUGAACUAAGUGUUGCGUGUCCAAAUUAAGACACUACUAAAGGUUGUUAACCUUCUUGUAAUUACAACACACACACAAGUGAUGGCGUCCCAUCCAACUCCUAUCACACAGAUAGGUAUACCUUGUGUCCCCUAUAAUUAGGGUUGUUCAUCCCAAUCAGAUUGAAGAAAUAUCAAGGAAUAUUUAUUUCAAAGAUUUGCUUUUGAAUCGUUAUUUCACAAUUUGGGCAACCUUGAUCUACCAUAAUUAUUUCUCAACACACUUCUUCCAAGGAAUGCGAGCAAUGCAUCCUUUAAUCACAAUUCAAGGAUUUUCAGUGGAUAAAAUAAGAAAUAGGAUCAAAUAUGAGACGAUCUCUUAGAAUUAUUAUAUUGAGAUCAUCAUUGUGGUGUAUAUUUAUUCCAAUUCUCGACUAUUAAAUCAUGAAUCACAAAAGAUAAGACGAUCUCUUAGAAUUAUUAUAUUAAGAUCAUCAUUGUGGUGUAUAUUUAUUCCAAUUCUCGACUAUUAAAUCAUGAAUCACAAAAGAUUUUGUAACAUCAAAGAAAUAUUGAUUAUUAGGAGUAGUCGCUUCCGAACAAAGAAAGGACUCAAGAUACAUCAUAAACUUCUCAGUUUUCAAAAUGAGAAAUGAUGUCAACUUGAGCAGAAACAGUGUGAAAUGUAAUAUUAUUCAUAAAUAGCGUAUUCCACAGAUCCGUACUCAAGCAACGAGAGUCUUCCUUAUAACACAUUUGCGGUUUGCGAAAUUCUACAUCUUUGAUUUGCUUCUACUUUACCUAUAUCCUUCACUCGCGACAUCUCUUACAAAAGGUUUCUUCACAACAUAAGUCCAAGGUUUCUUUCCAUCAUUUUGAUUAUUUUGCGUGGGUUUCCGCCUUCGACUAACUUACUUUUUGGUUAAACAACUCACUAAUACAAGCUUUGUGCACUAAUGUCGCAUAACUAGAAAUCUCGAGAACAACAACUCUAUUCUAAAUCCAGGGGUUUAAGCCCGGCUGAAAAACGUCUAGUUUUUCAGUUUUUUUUUUUUUUUUUUCGGUAUAUACUUGAUGCGGAAUAAAUUUCGAAAGUUCGAUAAACUUAGCUUCGUACUCAGCUAUUGACAUAUUCUCUUGCUUGAGCUUUAGCAAUUUGAGCUCCAUUUGAUUCUCUAGGUGUUUAGGUAAAUACUUUUCUAGGAAUAACUUUGUAAACCUGGUCCAUGACAUCACGCUAGAAUCUUCUAGGACUUGCUUAACUUCCCACCAAUAAUUAGACUCUUCAUAAACAUCAAAAUUAAUUUUCUUAUCAUCUUCUAUACCAACUAUUUCAAAAUCUUAGCCAUAUCUUGGCUUCAACAGGAUCAACAUCCCCUUUUAAACUCUUGUGGUGGCAAAAAUUUGAAAGAUUUGAAUGAAAAGGUAGGUUUUGACUCGAAGAAUUUCUUUCGGGAUUGUUUUGAAAAUUUUAGGUAUGUUGUUGAAGAAAAUCAACAAGUAAUUGAACAGGAUUGGGUCUGGGUUGAAAUCCAGGUGAAGCAUCUAGUAUUGAUUCAUAAAAAGAGUUGUCAUUCAGGUUCGAAUUCAAAUAUAUAAAAGUGAACAAAAUAGGUUUCAUCAUUAUACAAAAUUACAAGAUUUAUUUAAAGGUACAACAAUGUGCAAUUUUGAAAAAUUCACAGUAUAUAAUUUUUGAAAACAGGUUCCACAUUUUGGUUGAAAAUACAAGUUGUACCAAAGUUGCAUAUUUUUGAAAACUUUUAGAAACUUUAAAGGUUGUACCUUUUCUUUUGAAAACUCUAAAACUUUAGAAACUUGAACGUUUCUCUUUUUUUUUUUUUUUUUUUUUUGAAAACCUCGAAAAAGAAAAAAAAAACUUUAAAAGGUUGAGUAAAUAUAAUCAUAAAAAUUUCACAUUGGAUCAUUGAGGUAGCAGAUGCAAGAUAGGUUGACAGGAGUGAAACAGGUUAAAAGUAGUUGACAAGUGCAAGAAGCAUAGGGAAAGUAUAGACAAAGAAAGAGACACCAAUAUGACAACAAGAUUGAUCAUUCUUCCCAAAGUGGUCAUAAUAUCUGAAGCUUUUAGAGUACAAGUCAUGAUAUAGAAGUAUAUCUGAUCUGGUCAUCACCCUACUAUAUCAAAUUUAAUCUGGACACCACUAUACAAAAGAUCACUUUAUAUAAAUCUCUACUACCAAAAUGAUCUACUGAUCGAAACUGUAGCAUCUGUUUCUCAAUAAAAGGAAGUGAACAAUUCUCCAUCCCGAUACUAUACAAAAGUAUCUACAUAUCCUCUAUAAUAUACCAUAAUUGAGAUACACACGGACUACAUGUGUUCUUUCCCAAAAGUCAAAUUAUAC
rnacentral:lncRNA from 1 species